rnacentral:rRNA from 1 species
CAGUCUCAGUUCGGAUUGAAGGCUGAAAUUCGCCUUCAUGAAGCCGGAAUUGCUAGUAAUGGCAGGUCAGCAUACUGCCGUGAAUACGUUCCCGGGCCUUGUACACACCGCCCGUCACACCAUGGGAGUUUGUAACGCCCAAAGUCGGUGGCCUAACCUUUAUGGAGGGAGCCGCCUAAGGCGGGACAGAUGACUGGGGUGAAGUCGUAACAAGGUAUC